GACGAACGCUGGCGGCGUGCUUAACACAUGCAAGUCGAACGGUGAAGCGCCUGCCUUUUUGGUUGGUGUGGAUGAGUGGCGAACGGGUGAGUAACACGUGAGUAACCUGCCCCCUUCUUCUGGAUAACCGCAUGAAAGUGUGGCUAAUACGGGAUAUUCUGGGUCUGUCGCAUGAUGGGUCUGGGAAAGAUAUUGUUUCGGUGGGGGAUGGUCUCGCGGCCUGUCAGCUUGUUGGUUGGGUGAUGGCCUACCAAGGCGGUGACGGGUAGCCGGCCUGGGAGGGUGGACGGUCACACGGGGACUGAGACACGGCCGAGACUCCUACGGGAGGCAGCAGUGGGGAAUAUUGAACAAUGGGGGAAAGCCUGAUGCAGCGACGCCGCGUGAGGGAUGGAGGCCUUCGGGUUGUGAACCUCUUUCGCCAGUGAAGCAGGCCUGCCUCGUUUGUGGGUGGGUUGACGGUAGCUGGAGAAGAAGCGCCGGCUAACUACGUG
rnacentral:rRNA from 1 species